GUCCAGUCCGACCGAGAUUUCCCUUCGACCAAUCAACAGUUGACAGUUGACAGGAAACGUCAAAAAUCCCCUCCCGCUAACCAAUCAGCGGCGAGAAGGCGGGGGCGGGCUCUGCCCUCGAAGAUUCCAUGUGACGCUCCUCAGUAGUUCCCAGGCGGUCACAUCUGAGAGCCGGAGACUAUGAAUCAGAAGGUCGGGUUGUUCGUUCUUCUGGCCGCGGGCCUCCUCUGCCUCAGCCUCGUCUCUAGGGCCGAAGACCCGAUUGAGGACGGUCUGGGCGACGACGUAGACGUGGAGGACGAGAUGGAUCUGGGUCUGGCCGGCGACGAGGAGGAGCUGGAGGGAGACGGGGACAUGCAGGAGGACGCUCCACCUGCGCCGAAAACUCCUCCUACGCCCAAGGUGAUCUACAAGGCUCCAGAGCCGAUGGGGGAACAUUUCAUCGCUGAGUCUUUUGACCGGGGGACCCUAGACGGCUGGGUGAUGUCCAACGCCAAGAAGGACGACACCGAUGAAGACAUCGCAAAGUAUGACGGUAAAUGGGCGGUGGAGGAGAUGAAGGACAGCAAGCUGCCCGGCGAUAAAGGUCUGGUUCUGAAGACUCGAGCCAAACAUCACGCCAUCUCAGCCCAGCUGCUGCGACCUUUCACCUUCGACGCCAAGCCGCUCAUCGUCCAGUACGAGGUGAACUUCCAGUCGGGCAUCGACUGCGGCGGCGCCUACGUGAAGCUGCUGACUCAGACUCCAGACCUCGACCUGGACCAGUUUAAGGAUAAAACUCCGUACACCAUCAUGUUCGGACCCGACAAGUGCGGAGAGGAUUACAAACUUCACUUCAUCUUCAGACACAAAAACCCCAAAACAGGAGAGUACGAAGAGAAGCACGCCAAGAAACCAGACGCCGACCUGAGGACGUACUACACGGACAAGAAGACCCACCUGUACACACUGGUGUUGAACCCUGACAACACCUUCGAGGUGUUGGUGGAUCAGACGGUGGUGAACAGUGGCAGCCUGCUGACGGACAUGACUCCACCGGUGAACCCCCCCGCUGAGAUCGAGGACCCCGACGACCAGAAGCCGGACGACUGGGACGAGAGGCCCAAGAUCCAGGACCCCGCCGCCUCCAAGCCCGAAGACUGGGAUGAAGACGCUCCUGCUCAGAUUCCAGAUGAAGACGCGGUGAAACCAGACGGCUGGCUGGACGACGAGCCGGAGUACAUCGGAGACCCCGACGCUGUCAAACCUGAAGACUGGGACGAGGACAUGGACGGCGAAUGGGAGGCUCCUCAGGUCCCUAACCCCGCAUGCGAGACGGCCCCAGGCUGUGGCGAAUGGAAACGGCCAAUGAUCGACAACCCCAACCACAAGGGCAAGUGGAAGCCCCCCAUGAUCGACAACCCCAACUACCAGGGCGUGUGGAAGCCGAGGAAGGUCCCCAACCCGGCGUUCUUCGAGGACCUGCAGCCGUUCAGGAUGAGUGCGUUCAGCGCCGUCGGGCUCGAGCUCUGGUCCAUGACCUCCGACAUCUUCUUCGACAACUUCUUCAUCACCGACGACCGCAACACCGCAGAGCGCUGGGCCGCCGACGGCUGGGGGCUGAAGAAGGCUGCGGAGGGCGCCGCUGACCCCGGUCUGGCCACCCAGAUGUUGAACGCUGCAGAGGAGCGUCCGUGGCUCUGGAUCGUCUACGUUCUCACCGUGGCUUUACCGCUCGUCCUCAUCAUCGUCUUCUGCUGCACCGGAAAGAGGUCUUCAGGCUCAGAUAAGGGUCAGUUGAGUCUCAACAACUUACAGGAAGAGUUAAAGGAAGCCGGACGCCCAAAACGACCCGCCGCCUCUGGCCUGAAGAAGAGCCCAGCGACGCCGGCAGCGGAGUACAAGAAGACGGACGAAGCUCAGCCCGACGUAAAGGAGGAAGACGAAGAGAAGGAAGAGGAAGAGGAAGAGGAGAAGGCUGAAGAAGCAGAGAAGAGCAGUCCAGCUGCAGAAGAGAAGAGCGACGGAGAGGAAAGUCCUGCAGAGGAAGCAGAGAAGGAGGAAGAGAACGAGGAGACGACUGACGAUAAGUUGGAGGACGACGUUCUGCGGAGAUCUCCCAGGAACAGGGGGAACAAGGUCAGAAAGGACUGAUAUCUCUGAAUCCACAGCCCUGACCUCAACACCUUCCCAUCUCCCCCUCUCCCCUAAAAUAUCUCCCCUCCCCUCCCCCUCUACUCGUCUGCUCCGAGGCGAUGAAGCCUAAGUGGAACCCGUGGAAGCAGCGAAGCCGACAGGAAACUAAUCAAGACCUCUGAUACGGACGCCUGCUCAUCGCGAUGACAACGAUGAUGAUUCCAGUAUGAACCGGACUGAGUUAGCGUGUUAGAAAGGAUAUUUGUUUUUGAGAGAGAUUACCUGAGAUUUAACUAAAACUUCCUGCAUCAUUCCUUUAAACAACAACCGAGCAGACUCGGAUCACCGACUCCCGUCCCGUCUGCCACAUCACCACCACCCGCUCACUGUCCAGCGCCAUCCUGAGCUAGCGACCCCCGCUCUACCAACAGCCUGCUAAUAGGCUCUCAGCAACUUGCUAAUAAGUCUACUGACAGAUGGAAAUUUGGCAAUGCAACUCCCACUAGUUAGCCACAAUCUGAGGUGACAAUCUUCCUGUUUGGGCUACCAACAGACUGCUAAUUAGCUCACUAUCCGGCUGCUAAUUAGGCUAAGAGAAGUCAGAAUUAUCCUACAAACGUUAAGAGAAAUUGCCAACCUAAAGUCUUGCCAAUUGGCCUACAAACAGGCUGCUAAUUAGUUCUCAACAACUUGCUAAUAAGUCUCCUUACAGAUGGAAAUUUGGCUCCAACAAGUUAGCCCACAAUCUGAAGUAACCACCUUCCAGCUUGGGCUACCAACAGUCUGCUAAUUAGGCUAACAGUAGCCAAAUUAGCCAAUGAACAGUGAGUGAAAUUGCUAACGCUAAAAGUCUUGCCAAAUAGCUAAUAAAAGUAGCUCUCAACAACUUGCUAACAAGUCUCCUGGCAGCAGUUUGGUUAUCAACGCCCUCUGACUAGCCAACAAUGUUUGGGCUACAAGCAGUCUGUUAAUUAGCCUAAUUAGCCCCCUGAUAGUGAGCUGACAGCAGUCAGAAAUUAUCCCAUGAGCAGUGGGAGAAAUUGCCAAUUAGCUUAUGAACAUGCUGCUAAUUAGCUCGCUAACAUUUCCAACAACUGUCUUGUUUUCCAGGCUAGUAACUUAUCUUGUAAACAACACGCAAAUUAGCCUGCUAACAGUUACUUUAUUAUCCUCAUGGGAGAUGUAUUACCCUACAAUCGAUCAGGGAAUUGACUAAUUUUACUUUUAGCCUGCUAAAGCAACUUGGUAGCUAUCAGGCUACUUGUACUACAGUUUUAAGUAGCCUACUGUUGUCCCAUUUGGACUUAUUAGCGUUAACAACGGGCUGCUAACAAGCCCACAAAUGAUGUAAUUUACUUACCAACAAUUAGCCAAUUAGCCUUCUAAGAAGAUGAUUCGCCUACUAACUGUUGGCUCGUUAGCCGUCCUAGAAUUUUACAAAUUAGCGAUUUAGUGAUUAGCCACAGCGGGCACCCGCUGCUAAUAUUUAAACAAAAAAAAAAAAGACAGCUUAUACAUUUUCUUCCCUUUUUUCAUGUCUCAUUUUCUUGUUGUUUUGAAUUGUGUUUUGUUUUGUGUUUGCUCCACACGUAGCGCUCGUGUUUGCUCAGCGUUUCCUGUUUUGUUGUCCUGAUGGUAGCCAAGAGAGGGGGGGGGGGUCAGAGGUCAGAGGUCAGAACCACGGAGCCUGGAACCGUUGGCCAGAAAGCAUUAGAGGCAGAUCUAACCGUGAAGGUCAGUGACGUCAGAACGGUCUUUGCAGCAGACGAACUUCUGGAACGGACAACGUAAGAAAUCCUCACAUCUCCAGUUGUUUAUGAAAUGUGACACCUUGGGAAUACGAGGUUUUCACCCUCUGGUAGUCCGUUAUUGUCCAUUUUUACGUCAACUUCUUCUGCGUUCAAGCACUACCUCUCCUCCUCCUCCUUCAUCUGUCCAAACAAACAUGACAGCGGCUCGUUGGCUCUUCCUGUCCAAUUUAAAAGUGUAUUUUCUGAGUUUAGCCGUUCCGGUAGGGCUGCAACGAACGUUACUGUCACAGAGUGGAGAAACUAGAAAAUAUUCACAUUUAACAAGCUGAAAUCAGAGGACUUUGACCUUAUUUCCAUUUAAAAAAAAAAAUGACUCAAACCAAUGAAUCAUUCUGGAAAAAUGGUUGCAAAUUCCUUAAAUAGUUCUCUGCAGCUCUACGUUCAGACGAUACAAAACCAGCGUCUGUCUGUCUGUCUCGACAGGAUUACCUUUUGCUCGCACCUGUUCCUCACUGGGGAUUGGAUGUGCACACCUUUACCUUCACAUCCAAACUAACCCUCUGUAGCUUUUCUCCUUAAAGUCAAACUUGAGUGCAGCGAGCCGCUGUCGUCUUUUCGUUUGGACGUUAAACUGAAGUCGUGUCAGCAGGUGGACGGGACACCCAGCCCCACUUUCAUCAACCCCAUAUGAAAAGAAAAUACGGCACUAAGGGAAAACUCCGGCGCUUAACCCUCUCACCCCGUCCGCCUGCUGCACCUCGACGCCUCCCCCGGUCACUAACGCCCUCCUGCACGGAUCCUGAAUCUGUGUCUGGGAGUUCUGCCCCAUGUUUUAAAAGACAGCACUUGAGCGUGACAAAGUUCUUUCUCAACUUGAAAUGACUUACGGUUCACUUAGCGGCUUUUUCCUCCAGAGCUUUCAACGGCAUCUCGCAGUCUUCAUCGAGGGAUGGAGUUUGACGGAAGAUCACCCGUGACGCGAUGACAACUUAAGCCCACUUUGUCCACAGAUGAAGACUGUGAGGACAGGUUGAAAGCUCCAGGAAAAACUGUUGAGUGAAGCUUGAACUGAGACGAAACGGAAACUCGGAAGUUCAAAAAGUUUUUCAACAUAUCAAACCCAAUUUUCUGUUUAUGGCUGGCAUCUAUUCUGCCCGUUUAUUUAUAUUAGUUAGCAUUGUUUUGUCUUUAUGGCUGGCAUCUAUUCUGCCCGUUUAUAUAUUAGUUAGCGUUGUAAGUUGUGCGCAAUCCAUGCCCAUACGUCUGUCAUCCUAGAGAAGCAGAAACAGCCAAUCGUGGACAUCUUUAAAGAGGAAACGAGUCACCAGUAACCACCAGGUGAUGGUAAAAAUAAAACCGGAGUUGAAAUAUUAAGGAUAUUAACGUAAACUACUUGUGUUGUCGUCUGCUGCUGACCACCGGAAAACUAGCAAAAUGGCUCGAAGGUUUCUGGAAAGUUAGUGUAAACCUGACCCUUCCUCUUGCACCACCAUCAGGACAAGAAAAAGCUCUCCGAAGAGCACAACAAAGGAGAAAUAUUCCCAUGUACUUUGCCUGUAUAAAAAAAAAAAUAAUCCUAAUUUAUGUGUUUUUUUUUUUGUAUUCAUGUAACGCAGAAGAUUUCAUCCUGUAGAGAGGCUCCUUCUACUUUAACUUCCAUGUGACUUGAGCGAGCAUCGUUAAGUGGCGUCCGUGUACAGCUUUGGAGAGUUCAAAAAUGCAAACGAAUCUGAAAUAAAACUGGUUUUGUUAAUCUUGAAAGUGUGUGUGGAAAAAGAAUAACUACAUUAGUCCAGUCUUGUAUCCAUGACGUAUACGUGACUGUUGAUGUGUCUGUCGUCCUCUUGUGUCACACGUACCGGUAAAACAACUUAAAGGGUCUGUUUUUUUUCUUGAUUUAAUUAAGGUCAGGAUUCCCGGCAAUGACGAGCAAGCUGCGUACUGAUGAGCUAAUGGGGUUUUGAGAGGCAGUGGGCAGUAGGGGGGGCUCUGGGGAAGCCAUAAUUUGAAGUCUCUCUGGCUGUCGGUGAAGUCAGGUUUUGGGGCUUGAGGUGCACUGGAGGUCCCCGCUUCCAUAACUUUUAUUUCCCUCCUUUUUUUUUUAAUUUUUAGGCUAAACACAAGCCGGUUUAGCUCUAAGCUCUGCUGCUUGUAGUCUGUUUCUGAAAAGUGUGGGAUUAUAAAGCUGUAGCAGUAGCAGCAGCAGCAGCGUUGCAUUCCCAUGCACGAUGUACGUUUCAGCCAUACUCUUUCAUCGUCUCCCUUCCUAUUUCUUUUUAGUCUCAGAUUCUUUUUGUGUCCGGCUUGAGCUGCCUAUAGCUUAACAAGACUGUAGCCUGAACACUGUAUCUGCUGGUGAAUCUUUACAUGACUCUGUAACUCUGUACUUUUUAUUUUUGUUUUUUUUUGUUGACAUUGUGUUUUGAACUAAAACUUUAAUAAUGGUUGGCCCAGCCUGUUUCUGAUGUACACACACCUGUGUGGAGAGAUGGACCUGCUGACACGCCACACGAAAAAAAGGUCCAACUUUGAAUAGAAAUACUGUGAUGAUGGAGCCUGGUGUGCGUGUGUGUAUGCGUGCGUGUGUGUGGACACGCUGUCAAAAUUUGUUUUGAUGAAUAAAAAAAAGGCCAAAUGGAAACUAAA